UGGUUGUCCUGGUAACUGGUUAAAUGAGCGAGAGCUACAGAUAGUACUCAGACAUCAAGAUCUUUGAAGAAUGAAUGCUAAACAGCAAAUUUGAACUCAUCUGUUUACUAUGAAGUUUCUACAACCGGAAACUGAGGAUAACGUGGAUACUUAGUGACUAAAAGGGCAACGACAAGAAAUGAGCCAUUAUUUUAAACUGAAAAUUCUCUGGAUUUACAAAUCCUUUGGAACUUUAGGUAUAAUUGCUGGCACAUUUUAAGGAUCACCUGUUGCAGGGAACAGAACAUAUGGAUCUAAACUGGAACACUGACAACAUUGUUUAUUGCAGAAAGAGCCAUUUUUCAUCCUGGUUGCUAUGGAAAUGUGCUGAAGAUUUCCAAGGUUAUCCUUAGUUCAAUGAAAACACAUGAGACAUCUUCCUGAAGCCACAUACCAAUGCUUUUCAAGUGUCAGAUGGCAGAACAUUGAUAAAAACAACAGCAAGUUAAUCAAUAAACAGACCUUAAGCUUUGAACCCAUUUUAUAGAAAAACAUAUAACCUUAAUUAUGAACAUUUGUGUGAUCUGUUCAAGAAUAUCUUAUGCAAUGGUCAUUUGGUGCAAUGGUCCAAUUGAGAAAGUCUAUUCAUUUUAGUGUUUUGCAUUAAAUUACUGGCAGAUUAUAAAAACGUGUGAAUUGUGUUCAAAAACUUUGCCUAGUUGUCACUGGGGCAGCACCCUUU